rnacentral:rRNA from 1 species
AAAUGAAUAGACGGGGACCCGCACAAGCGGUGGAUGAUGUGGAUUAAUUCGAUGCAACGCGAAAAACCUUACCUACCCUUGACAUGUACGGAAUCCCAGAGAGAUUUGGGAGUGCUCGAAAGAGAGCCGUAACACAGGUGCUGCAUGGCUGUCGUCAGCUCGUGUCGUGAGAUGUUGGGUUAAGUCCCGCAACGAGCGCAACCCUUGUCAUUAGUUGCUACGAAAGGGCACUCUAAUGAGACUGCCGGUGACAAACCGGAGGAAGGUGGGGAUGACGUCAAGUCCUCAUGGCCCUUAUGGGUAGGGCUUCACACGUCAUACAAUGGUACAUACAGAGGGCCGCCAACCCGCGAGGGGGAGCUAAUCCCAGAAAGUGUAUCGUAGUCCGGAUUGCACUCUGCAACUCGAGUGCAUGAAGUUGGAAUCGCUAGUAAUCGCGGAUCAGCAUGUCGCGGUGAAUACGUUCCCGGGUCUUGUACACACCGCCCGU